rnacentral:misc_RNA from 1 species
AAGUCGUAACAAGGUUUCCGUAGGUGAACCUGCGGAAGGAUCAUUAACAAAUCAUUGAGCGCAAGCUCAUCAACCUUUGUGAAUAGGCUUGCGCAAGCAAGUUAGAUGGGACGAGGGAGGCGGUGGUUAGUUAGGUGGUGGUGGUGGUGGUGAGUGUUUAGGCUGAAGCAAUUCAAACCUGAGCAAGCAUUAGCUAGCAGCCCAACAGCCAGCCCCGCUACAUUAAUAUUGUCUGAUUACAUUUGGAGGUCGAAAGAUUUCUAAUAAUAAUACAACUUUUAACAAUGGAUCUCUUGGCUCUU